UACGUAGGGUGCGAGCGUUGUCCGGAAUUAUUGGGCGUAAAGAGCUCGUAGGCGGUUCGUCGCGUCGGCUGUGAAAUCCCGAGGCUCAACCUCGGGUCUGCAGUCGAUACGGGCGGACUGGAGUUCGGCAGGGGAGACUGGAAUUCCUGGUGUAGCGGUGAAAUGCGCAGAUAUCAGGAGGAACACCGGUGGCGAAAGCGGCUCUCUGGAACGGUACUGACGCCGAGACGCGAAAGCGUGGGGAGCGAACAGG
rnacentral:rRNA from 1 species